rnacentral:rRNA from 1 species
GAAAUGCGAUAAGUAAUGUGAAUUGCAGAAUUCAGUGAAUCAUCGAAUCUUUGAACGCAUCUUGCACUCCUUGGUAUUCUGAGGAGUAUGCCUGUUUGAGUGUCAGUAAAUUCUCUCAACCACAUUGAAAAUGUUCAUGUGGCUUGGAUAUUGGGGGUCUGCAGGCUUUCUUUUUCAAGUCGAGCUCUCCUAAAAUAUAUAAGGGUAGUGAUCAGAAAAAACUACAGAUGUGAUAAAUUAUCUACAUCUUAGUAUGUUUCAUUGCACUGCUUUCAAUCUUUUAAUUUUGAUAUAUUUGACCUCAAAUCAGGUAGGACUACCCGCUGAACUUAA